GAGAGUUUGAUUCUGGCUCAGGAUGAACGCUGGCGGCGUGCUUAACACAUGCAAGUCGAGCGAAGCAUUAAAACCGAUUUCUUCGGAUUGAAGUUUUUGUGACUGAGCGGCGGACGGGUGAGUAACGCGUGGGUGACCUGCCUCAUACAGGGGGAUAACAGACAGAAAUGUCUGCUAAUACCGCAUAAGCGCACAGUGCUGCAUGGCACAGUGUGAAAAACUCCGGUGGUAUGAGAUGGACCCGCGUCUGAUUAGCUAGUUGGUAAGGUAACGGCUUACCAAGGCGACGAUCAGUAGCCGGCCUGAGAGGGUGAACGGCCACAUUGGGACUGAGACACGGCCCAAACUCCUACGGGAGGCAGCAGUGGGGAAUAUUGCACAAUGGGGGAAACCCUGAUGCAGCGACGCCGCGUGAAGGAAGAAGUAUUUCGGUAUGUAAACUUCUAUCAGCAGGGAAGAAAAUGACGGUACCUGACUAAGAAGCCCCGGCUAACUAC
rnacentral:rRNA from 3 species